GAGAGCGAUGCCUGGCCCCACCGGAGAGCUUUCAGCCCGGAAUUUCCUCUGGAUGAGUGGGAACCGUCAGCAAUAACCAGGAAAGCCAGCCAGUCCAUCAGUGAGCUCUCUCGCUACCAACUGGGCUUCCCGAGGCUCGGCCCCUUCCGCCCCUGCUUUGAGAGCACCGAGCUGGAGUGGCCGCCCUGCUACCGGGCCACGUCCACGCACGACCUCUCAUGGGAUGGUGACCGCCUGGCCCGCUCCCCCGAGAGCCCCCCGGACCCCCUGCACCGCCCACUGCGGGGCAGAGCCUUCUCCGAGAGCCACCUCAACCUGGAGCCCCCCAGCCCCCGGGGCCUCGACCGGAGGAACCUUCUCCGUGCCAAGCUGGACCCCCCUGGAGUCCCCAAAAAGAAGGGCCCACCACCUC